AUUUAAGUAGUUUAACAGAAAAUUUUGGUUUGUGGAACCAAAGAUAUAAUUAUUUAUCUUAAAUA
rnacentral:tRNA from 1 species